GGGAGCCAGGUCUGGCUCCUUGGACUGUAUCUUCCGUGCUCCAGUGGGAGUACAGACUAAGAGGGAGAAGGGGGCUGGGUAGAGAUGCAGCCCAUGUCGGUAUGGGAAUCACUCGACCUCUCAUUUCCUUCAAUCUUUCACUCCUAAAAUGUCUAGUAAACCUUUUAGUCUGUUCUAUUCUGCGUUCAUUCCCUUGACUUUCAGCCCUUGUAAUUCACAUAGUUUGGCUGGGAUCACUCGCUUCACAAAAGGAAAAGACUUCCUCCUGUGAAGAGAUCCUUAGUAUACUACUUGAAGAACCGCGAAGUCAGGCUACAGAAUGAAACCAGCUACUCUCGAGUGUUGCAUGGUUAUGCAGCACAGCAACUUCCCAGUCUCCUGAAGGAGAGAGAGUUUCACCUUGGGACCCUUAAUAAAGUGUUUGCAUCUCAGUGGUUGAAUCAUAGGCAAGUGGUGUGUGGCACAAAAUGCAACACGCUAUUUGUCGUAGAUGUCCAGACAAGCCAGAUCACCAAGAUCCCCAUUCUGAAAGACCGAGAGCCUGGAGGUGUGACCCAGCAGGGCUGUGGUAUCCAUGCCAUUGAGCUGAAUCCUUCUAGAACACUGCUAGCCACUGGAGGAGACAACCCCAACAGUCUUGCCAUCUAUCGACUACCUACGCUGGAUCCUGUGUGUGUAGGAG
rnacentral:sRNA from 1 species